rnacentral:tRNA from 1 species
GAGCUCGUGACGCAACGGUAGUGCGUCUGACUCCAGAUCAGAAGAUCGCGUGUUUGAAUCACGCCGGGCUUA